AUACUGGCAGGGGAGAUACCAUGAUCACGAAGGUGGUUUUCCCAGGGCGAGGCUUAUCCAUUGCACUCUGGAUGUGCCGAUCCCUGUGAUUUCCCCAAAUGUGGGAAACUCGACUGGGUAAUUUGUGGUAGAAGGGGACUGCGUGUGUUCAUGCUUUCCCCAG
rnacentral:snRNA from 1 species